rfam:Ictidomys tridecemlineatus contig073329, whole genome shotgun sequence.
GGGGUUGUGGCUCAGUGGUAGAGCGCUUGUCUUGCAUGUGGGAGGCGCUGGGUUCGAUUCUCAGCACCA